rnacentral:lncRNA from 1 species
AGUGACCUUGGAUGGGAAAGAUAACAGUGUAGAUAGAGAGCCCACUGAACUUAAGAAUCCCCCAGAUGCCAAACUAGCAAGAUGGCUCAGUGGAUCGAGGCACUUCCUGUGCAAGCCUGGCAACACGAACUUGAUCUGCAGAACCUGUAUAACAGUGGAAAGAGAAAAAUGACUCCACAGAGUUGGUUUCUUGCCUUCAAACGUAUAUUGUAACACACACACUCUCUCUCUUUCUCUCUCUCUUACUACUAAUGACAAUAACAAUAAAUACACAAUAACUCCCAGUUGCUUAACAAUAAGCAACACUAGAAUCUAGUACAGAUUUCAAUAAUAAGAUAAUUUGCCACACAAGACACAUUAGCCAGCAAACCCAGGAGGUUUCUGGGUACAGAAUCUUAGUUUCUGAAAACAGGCAGGAUUUGUUAAGUGGAACCUUAUUUCUGAUGGAGAUGUAUGCCCAGAGCAGUGGGCUCAUUUCAGAGCUCUUGUUCAGAUGUGUCUUUUCAUUAUGCAGAGUUUAAAAUGUGCUUCAAAGUGGGCAGGGUAUGUGCUGAGCGCUGAAGGAAGGACAUUUGGAAAUGUUUUAUCCUCAGACUCAGGCUGACACAGCCCAGACUGCUAUCACAGCUUCACCUCAGCGAGGCAGUGCAGAGGAUGCAAGACGGCUGUCUGGCCCAAGAAGCUGGGGUGUUGAUAAAGGACACAGGUGGCUUUUAUAAAUAUAGUCACAGUCACAUCAGGAUGAGUAAUGUACUGUAUCAUGAGAGUUUUCAAAAUAAACAAUGAUUUUCUCCCAAAUGUGUGUGUUGGAGCUAAGAGUAUAAAUCGUUACAUUAUAAAAUUUAAAUCAGGAUAACCAUUUCCCAGUUUCCUGUCCUCCCUCACCAGCCUGUACUGGGUGGGAAAGAAUCCAACACAUAUGGAAACUAACCUCACUAGGAGAAGGUAAGAACAUACCAUUUUCUAAAAACAGUUCCAACCAUAAAAGCUUUCAUUUUUGUGUUUUACUGACAAAAAGUACAUUUUAAAUAGAAAGAAAUCUGGAAUUCAUUGUAUUCUAUAUCCUUUUCUAUACAUUCUCCCUACCUCUUUUUAACUCAUAUAUAUCUUUUAUUUCUACAUAUUUAUUUUGCAUAUAGGUGCUCUGUUACUCAAGUGAUCAGGGGAAGGUGUCUUCUACUUUCUAUACUAAAAGCAUGUCUAUGAAGUUGUCUGGUGCUUUCAUGCUUUUGUGUUUCUGUUUAAUUAAUAAGAGUUAGGAAACCAUUAUUUGUGGGAGAACAGCAUAUGAAAAGUAUCCGGAAGCCGUCAGUUGCUUUAUGUGAUUGAUGCCUGCUGGUGUUCCCACGGAUCUUCCGUAAGGAAACCAUCUGAGUAUUCCACCUGCUGUUUCACAGAGAGUGCGGGUGGAUUCUCAGAUAAGCUUCAGGAUGGUGGUAUUAUAGGUAAUUAGAACUUGUGGGACAGACAUGAGACAAAAUAAUAAAGGACUGUAUU